rnacentral:rRNA from 1 species
GAUGGACCCGCGGUGCAUUAGCUAGUUGGUGAGGUAACGGCUCACCAAGGCAACGAUGCAUAGCCGACCUGAGAGGGUGAUCGGCCACACUGGGACUGAGACACGGCCCAGACUCCUACGGGAGGCAGCAGUAGGGAAUCUUCGGCAAUGGACGAAAGUCUGACCGAGCAACGCCGCGUGAGUGAAGAAGGUUUUCGGAUCGUAAAACUCUGUUGUUAGAGGAGAACAAGGAUGAGAGUAGAAUGUUCAUCCCUUGACGGUAUCUAACCAGAAAGCCACGGCUAACUACGUGCCAGCAGCCGCGGUAAUACGUAGGUGGCAAGCGUUGUCCGGAUUUAUUGGGCGUAAAGCGAGCGCAGGCGGUUUCUUAAGUCUGAUGUGAAAGCCCCCGGCUCAACCGGGGAGGGUCAUUGGAAACUGGGAGACUUGAGUGCAGAAGAGGAGAGUGGAAUUCCAUGUGUAGCGGUGAAAUGCGUAGAUAUAUGGAGGAACACCAGUGGCGAAGGCGGCUCUCUGGUCUGUAACUGACGCUGAGGCUCGAAAGCGUGGGGAGCGAACAGGAUUAGAUACCCUGGUAGUCCACGCC